rnacentral:pre_miRNA from 1 species
CGUUUCUUCCCUUGCGUUCAUAAGACCAGUAAGAUGAACGUUAGGCGAGACACCGU